CCUUCUCCAGCCCAAUUCCAGAUGGCUUAAAGAGCCAGGCAGCCAGACUCGCGCCAGACACGCACGGUGGCGGCAGGCUGACACGCAUCGCGCUGGGACUCAUCAUAACAGCAGGAGAAAACCAGGUUAAACCUAGGAAAGCGCCCUGUCUGGAAGUCAUACUACAAUAUUAGCUCUCGAGUCGACCCCAGAGGCUUCCCCUCUUUAGGGUGAGGUGGAACCCCGGAAAGGCUUCGGGCCAGGCCUCACUAAGCCUUGCCAGAGUCCCUGGCUCAGAAAUCCUCAGAGGUCCCUUGGCCUUUCGAUAGCAACAUCUGGAUGGGAUGGGAGACAGCGGAUGCGGUACAGCGGCCUCUCUUUCCGGAUGAGUAAUGCCUUCUCCGGUGACCUCAGCGGGCCUGGCCUUCCCUCUGCCAACUCAGAACCACAGAGGCCAGGGAGGGCAGCGAGGGGGCUGCGAGAGGGCAGCGCCGGACGUCGGGAGGAGACCAAGGCCUUCCCCGCCUGAAUCACAGCGCAAACACAUGAUGUGGCGUUUGUUUCGCUCAGAGCAAUGCAUGCGGGGGCGCAGGGCCGCGGAGGCCGAGCGCUUCCUGUGAGUCGCAGAGCCUUUCCCCCGCAAACGGGCAAGACGUUUCCUCUGCCCGCGUCCGCGUCCUCCGCUAUGGACGCCUCUGUGCACCCUGCGUUUCUCACCGGUUCAUUGCACGCGUGUUGAUCGAGCACAGGCCACACACACAGCGGAGGAGAGACGCAAAUCCCACGCACGCCGGGCACACUCUUCGCGGCUCUAGGCCCCCCGAACCCGCCCCACGGUUGUUACUGUAUCUGGCUGAGGCCCUGCGGGUCGCCGGGAGUCCGGGGCACUUCCCAGGGCGGCCGUGUUUCAGGGGGGAUGAAGCCCUUCGACGUGCAGGGGACAAGGAGCGCGCCCUCUGGCGGGAGGCGUCCUCCCUGCUGGAGGCGCUCUGCGCCCUGCAGCCGGACCUGUGCCCUCACCCGCGCUUAGACUUCGCUUCUGCCCAGGAGCGGAGGCCGCACGACAGCCCGGUCACACCUGUGCGGUGGCCGCUGCGAUGCCCGAGUGGCCCUCCAUGUCCGUCUGCGGCUCUGCGCACCCCUUCCGCUCUGUCCCGCAUCUUGGGAUGAAACACAGAGGACUCACCACAGCCGUGAGGCUGCAAGGUCUGACUGACGCCCGCUGCCCGCUGUCCACCACGGCCCUGUCUUGGUCACCUCAUCUCCUACGCACCUCCGCAGCGCUGCCUCCUUUGGGGUCUUUAAAAUGCCUCUUGUCACCAGGCAUGGUGGCACACGCCUCUAAUCAUAUAACUCAGAAGGCUGAGGCAGGAGGAUCACUGCAAGUUCAAGGCCAGCCCGAACUGCAUAGGAAGAACUUGUCUGGGAAAAAACCCCAAGGUACCUCAUGGACUGCAAGAGUCACCAGCUCUCCAGCCAUCACAUCAACAUCCCCAAGAAGCAAGAAGCAAGCACUACCUGCUAACUUCUGCCUAUACGUCAUCGCCGGAAUUUAGUCACAUGGCCACAUCCAGCUGCCGGGUGAUGUCACCAAAUAUAUUCGAGAGUGUUACCAAGGAUGAGUGGGAGGGGUGGACAAGCGGGAGGGGUGAACAGCCAGCC